UUUAUCUCUCUAAUGUUUUAUAGUUUUCAAUGGAUAGAUCUUAUACAUCUUCUGUCAUAUUUAUCCAUUUAAUAUUUAUUGUCUAAUGCUAUUUUAAAUUGCAUUGUUUUUGUCUCAGUUGCCAAUUGCUCAUUGCUAGUGUAAAAACACAAGUAUAAUGAUCUAUAUCCAGCAACAUUGCUAAACUCUUAUUAGUUUUAGAAGCAUUUUUUUGAUAGAUAGAAUUGUCCGUAUAUACUCUUAUUUUCUGUAAAUAAAGACAGUUUUAUUUGUCCCUUUCCAAUACGAAGGCCUUUUAAAAAAACUUAUUACACUGGACAGAACCUCAGGCACGUUGUUGAACUAUUCUUCUCAACACCACCCUUUUCCAUGAACUCGUCAGUCUUAGGUUUUAGUUUCCUACAUGCAAAUAUCCUGCGUAAUUUCUGGCAUGAAAAUCUGCCUCAUUCACUCUACACUGUUAAAAUCCAAGCCUGGGUACCACAUCUACUGAGAUGAGCAUAACCCUACAGUUGAAACAAGACACAUAAGAUGUCCAGUGGAGCAAAUGUAUUCACUGGAGUUUGACAGCCUGAAUGCAGUGAUUUCAGACUGGGGAAAACUGAAACCCCAGGAGACUUCUGUGGACACUUUUCCAUUGGUAGGAUGGGAAAGUUCCUUGGUGGUAUCCAAGUGAGUGGUCUUCAAGAUGCAUAAGAGAAAUUUUUAGGAGUGAAGUAGGAUGAUUCACAUCUACACAUAUAUUUAAAUACAGUCAGAUUACCUCGGAGAGAUUUCCGGUAAGAUGUACAAAAACUAGAUAAUGGUGGGAGAAAACAGAAGGAAGCACUGAAGUGGGGUGACUUUGGGAAAAGGCUUAGAGGAAAUACUCUCUCCCUGCCAUGUGACCCACCCAAGUUGAACAUGGGAGGAAAGGAGCACCGCUACUCAGUUUGGGAAAGCUCUUUAGGAGUGCUAAAGAAAUGUCCCCUUUUUCUUCAAUCAGAGCAUCCUGGCUUUGUCAUCAGACUCCCCUCUUCCCUCUCUCCAUACCCCUUCCCCCCUCCCACUCACGACAAUGUCCUUAUAGUGCUUUGUGAUGUCUAAGCCCCUCACCCCUCAGAGCCACCAUUGGCUGGGUAGUGGCUUGCUGAUCCAUCAAAGCUCACAGGUAUGGCUUUAUUGUCACGGUGGAAGGGGGUGUAUAUAUAGGGAGGCCAGGAGGCAUGGAGUAGACGAUUGAGAGACACUGACAUGGUGAAGAUGACCAGGAAACCACAAACCUCCAGCCCAGGUGUCAAAGAACAACCACCUGCCAACACCAAAGGGGCAAGGAACAGGAAGGCCCCCUGUCAAACUAAGUCUAUAAGUCCUAUCAAGGUUCCUAAGACAACCAGGAAGGGAAAAGGAAACCUUUUAGGGAAUUCCAGAAAAAAAAAAAACAACUCUCCCAAAAAAGAUCUCUGCUUCAAGAAAACCUGAGGAAGGAAGCGAGCCAAAACUAUCCAGCCCCUGUGACCAGCUGAAUGAGGAACUUAAUCAAAAUUAGCCACAGCAGGACCAAAGCAAGGAGACCUCCAACAUCCCUAGUGUCUCCCCGGGCAGCCAGUAAUUUCAGGGCAAGACCAGAGAACUCAGAUUUACCUGAAAAGUCUCCAGAGGUCUAACCCCAAAUAAAUAGCCAACAGGGUCUAGAGUACGUUUUACACCCCACAGGGUACACCCCACGGUGAUCAAAAUAAAAAGAACCUGUUGUAAAAUGGGGUGUGUGUGUGUGUGUGUGUGUGUGUGUGUGUGUGUGUGUGUGUGUUCUAGGAUGGUGGGGAGGGAGGAAGGAGGGGAGAGGUGGGAGUUUGGGAAGGGAGGAAGGUGGGAUCCUCUUCAAUUUCUUUAAAUUCAACUUGCUCUUCUUUCUUUAGUUUCCUAGAGUGAAAGUUUUGGUUAUUGAUUUUAUAUUUUAUUUUCUAAUAUAAAUAUUUAAAAUAUGCUAUACAUUUUUCCCAAGGACUACUUUAGCUGAAUCCCUCAAAUUUUUGUAUGUAUAUUUUUAUUUUCAUUCAAUGUAAUGUAUAUUCUAAAAUUAUCCUAAGAAUCCCUCUUUGAUCCAUAGAUUACUUAGGAGCAUAUUUUAAAAUUUACAACAUUUGAGCAUUUUUCAGUUAUCUUUGUGUUUGAUUUUGAGCUUAACUACAUUAUGGUCUUCAAGAAGCAUCUUAAAGAAUAUGCUUUUUAUUAUUUCUAAUAUUUUCAAUUUGUAAGGUUUGUUUUAUGGCCCAGAAUACCAUCUAGCUUGGUAAAUAUUUUAUGCACACUUGAGAGGAAUGUUUAUUCUGCUAUAGUUGGAUGCGGUGUUUUUGUUUGUUUGUUUGUUUGUUUGUUUUUAAUUUUAAUCAGGUAAUCUAUAUCCUUCCUGGUUUCCUGCUUACUUUUUCUCUGAAAUACUGAGAAACAAUUCAGAGAGUUUUGACAAAUAUAUAGUCCCAUGAAAUCACAACCACAGUGAAGGCGCAAAAUAUAUUCAUCAUCCCCAAAAGUUUCUUCCUGUGCUUUUGCAGUAAAACCACUCCUUCAGUAGAAGUGACCUGAGAAUUCUUGUGGAAAAUACCACGACAGGGUCACUGCAGACUCCUUCUCCUCAGGCCCAAACAGUGUCUUGGAGGUCUCUGCCCCCACCGGGCUGAAAUCUGGAUUCAGAGCUCUCAGUGGCAGCCUGCCUGGGGCUCUGUGGACUUGAUUUCACAUGUGGUCUCUCUCGUGGACUCUGGUAAUUGCUCUUCCCUGCAUCCUCCUAAUGCCCCUUGCCAGCCGAGGGUGUCCUGUCUGCUCUCCUUCCCCG
rnacentral:lncRNA from 1 species